CCUAACACAUGCAAGUCGAACGAACUCUUCGGAGUUAGUGGCGCACGGGUGCGUAACGCGUGGGAAUCUGCCCUUGGGUACGGAAUAACUCAGAGAAAUUUGUGCUAAUACCGUAUAAUGUCUUCGGACCAAAGAUUUAUCGCCCAAGGAUGAGCCCGCGUAAGAUUAGCUAGUUGGUGGGGUAAAAGCCUACCAAGGCGACGAUCUUUAGCUGGUCUGAGAGGAUGAUCAGCCACACUGGGACUGAGACACGGCCCAGACUCCUACGGGAGGCAGCAGUGGGGAAUAUUGGACAAUGGGCGAAAGCCUGAUCCAGCAAUGCCGCGUGAGUGAUGAAGGCCUUAGGGUUGUAAAGCUCUUUUACCCGGGAUGAUAAUGACAGUACCGGGAGAAUAAGCUCCGGCUAACUCCGUGCCAGCAGCCGCGGUAAUACGGAGGGAGCUAGCGUUGUUCGGAAUUACUGGGCGUAAAGCGCGCGUAGGCGGUUUUUUAAGUCAGAGGUGAAAGCCCAGUGCUCAACACUGGAACUGCCUUUGAAACUGGAAAACUUGAAUCUUGGAGAGGUCAGUGGAUUCCGAGUGUAGAGGU
rnacentral:rRNA from 1 species